UCCACGACAAUGAAAAUGUAGGCGUUGCCUCUUUUAGACCGCGGGUAUUUGCCUAAAAAGUCGACGUAUAGUUUCUGAAAGGGCCUGUCUGUUAUUACUUCGUUUCCUAUACCUGGAUUCAAGCUGUGAUUAGGGGCUUUGCACUGUUGACAUAUCACGCAGUUUUUGGUGUGAUUAGCGACCUGGGAUGCCAUCCUCGGCCAAUAAUAAAACCGACGGAGUCUAUGCAGCGUUUUACCUAUCCCGCCAUGCGCUUUACUCUCCGGCUCGUGUGCUUCGGCUAUGAGUGUCGAUGUAAGCGAUGAUGGGAUCCACAGUUUCCAGGCGAAUUCCUGCUCCUCAUCACUUUUGGAAAACACGUUCCUGGUAUUCCUCGGAUUCGAACUCGGUUGUGUCAAAAGAUAAUACCGGAUAUUCACUGGCAGUAACUUCCUCGAUACAGCGCGAAAGAGUGUCCGCCACAAUGUUUUCUGUGCCUUUGCGAUGUUCGAUCUCAAAGUCAUAGCAUUGCAAUUGAAGCGACCAUCGAGCCAAGCGUCCGUUUAAAUCACGGAGGGACAUCAGCCACUUCAGACUCGCGUGGUCGGUGACCACUGUGAAGGCCAUCAUUUCCACAUAUGGGCGAAAACGUUUAACAGCUAAUACGGCGGCGAGACAUUCCUUCUCCGUCACGCUGUAAUUUCGUUGGCAGCUAUUUAAUUUUUGCGAGAAGAAGGCAAUGGGACACUCCGAACCGUCUUCCUCUUUUUGAAAUAAAACUGCGCCUACGCCCAGAUCGGACGCAUCGCACUGGAUGAAAAAUCGCUUGCGAAAGUCGGGAUGACGAAGUACCGGCGCUGUUGUAAGCGCUUGUUUCAGCGCGUUGAAAGCAUCCAUUGCGGCUGGAGUCACUGCAAAUUUUUGGCUCUUCUUGAGGGUAUCCGUGAGCGGAGCUGACAGCGCCGCGAAAUUAUUAAUGAAACGCCUGUACCACCCAGCAGUACCAAGAAAUUUCCGGACUUCUCGUGUGGUUUUUGGCAUCGGGAUUUUUCGGAUGGCUUCUAUUUUUGUUGGGUCUGUCCUCAGCGCUCCUCCUCCAAUGAUAUACCCAAGGUAUUUUAAUUAUUUGAAACAAAAAUGUGACUUUUUUAGUCCGAUCGUCAAAUUGGCUUUCUCGAAACAGAUCGCCACUUCUUCCAGCAGUUUUAGAUGCGUUUCAAAGUCCUCCGAGAUUACCAAAAGAUCAUCCAAAUAUACAAAGACGUUCUGCUUAAGUCUGUGUGGCACUACUUUGUCCAUUAAACGACAUAGCCUUUGCGCGGCGUUACAAAGUCCGAACGGCAUAACGCAAAAUUGGUAAAGAGGCCGUCCCGGGACGGUAAACGCCGUGUAUUGCUUGCUAUCCGUGUCCAACUCGAUCUGCCAGAAAGCAUGUUUUAAAUCUAUGCUGCUUAUGUAGUGCGUAUGAUCGAUACGACUUAGAAUGCCUUCGAUAUUUUGCAGCGGAUAGGCAUCUUUCACCGUCAGCGCGUUGAGUUUUCUUGCAUCCAAGCAAAAUCUGUUUUUACUUGGUUUUCGGACAAUAGUAGUUCGGUUAUUCCAAGGACUCUCACAUUCCUCUAUCACUUUUAGUUUCAGCAUCUCAUCCACUUCUUUAUAGACAAGAGCUUGCACCGCCGGGGACAUCGGAUAGUGCCUGUCCUUGAAUGGCACGGCACCUUUCACAAGUUGGAUUGUGUGUUUUUCAACGAGCGUCCGGCCAAGGCCGUGUUCUUCGAAACUUUGGAACUUUUGCUUCACUGAGUCGAGCCUUUGGCAUUGUUCCGGCGAAAGCUCGUGCAUCGCCAGAUCCCUUUCAGUGGUUUUCGUCGAGAGUUGGUGGAGUCUCUCAGCUUCCAAUUCCGCCACACCGAUGACGUCAGGAGCGAGCUCGAACAAUUUCCAAAAAUCAAUACCGAAGUAUGCGACUUGUUCCAGCUUUGCCAAGUACAGCAUGGCUUUGUCCAGAGGCCGUCUUCACCGUGGACACAAAGCGUUGAAUUUCGAGGUCCAGAUCCUCAAUUAAUUCCCUGCAGCCUUUCCCCAGGAUGCUGAUCGAAGCACCUGUAUCUAAGAGACCCCUAAUAAUUUUUCCUCGUAUUUCUACAUCGGCGAAAAUGCGAGGAUCGUUUGUAUCCGCGCUUUUGACUGCUUCCGCAACGUGGAGGCGUUCCGAUCAACGCUUCUGAUAUCGUUCACGCGCCUUCUGCACUUUCCUGGUUAUGCGUCGAGCUCCUUCAAGUUGGUGUUGCUGAAAAAUGCGCUGUCGAGCACUAUAGUAAUGACGUAUUCGCUCUUCCAGAGACUUUCCAGCGAUCAGUUUUUGGCUAGAAUUAAAUUUUGAAUUAACAAUCGGGUUUCGUUUUAAUAUCGUAAUUUUGUGCGCCUUUUCAGGUCUUUCAUCCCAGGUGCUUGCGGGCGCUGCUGCUAUGUUUUCUUUACAAGGCUCUAUUCUUCCGCCGGAAUUUGUUGGGGGCGCGACUCCUCCGGUCUUGUCGCGCUCCGGGCUACGUUUCCCGCCGCGCACUUCGGACAUUUUGGAGUUAUACAUUCUGGCUUGCCACAUUUAAAGCAGAAUAUUUUUCGCUGCAAAGACAUGCAGUCCGUGAAGGAGUGCCCCUCUUGUCCACAGUUCCAGCAAGUCAGCGGCUUCUUAGGCUGCUGGACGGCACGGAUUGCCGCGCGCUUUGGCUGCCAAGCUGGACUCACUUCACGACGACGACUUGACCCUCAUCGUCGUUGACUCGGUGGUCGCUGCAGUCUAGGUCUGCAAGUUCAUGCACCUGGUGUGCUCGCUGUUGGUACACUCCGCCUGUUGCUUGCCGAUCCCGUCUCGGAAAACUUCGCUCCACUUCGAUACAUUCAACUCGCAACUGCUCUACGGUGUGAAUCGUCAUCGGGUACACCAUUCUCGCCAAGGAUUCCCGGAGGUUGCAUUUGAGGAUUUUUACGGCCUCGUAUUCCGGUAUGGGGCUGCGCAGACGCGAUCUUAACAUACUAUUAGCAUGGAAAAAGGCGUCGACCGAUUCCCCAGGCUGCUGACGGCGUUCGGCGAGAUCUCGACGUAGCUCGUAAUCGUUACGAUGCGAACCGAACCGACAUAAGAGCGCGUGCUGCAAAUUUGGCCAAUCAGGUACGUGGUUCGUUUUUAUAAACAGCCAAUACCACUCCUGGGCGUCUCCGGCGAGUAGAUGAUGGAAUUCACGCAUCACGUCUUCCCAUGAGUAUCCAUACUGCAAACGGAGGUGACCCAAUCGAAAGAUGAAAUCUUCGACGGUGAUUUUAUCACGUUGGCCUUGAUAUGUUAACCCCCAUUUAUCAAUUUUAAUAUCGUAGCGAUACUGGCUUUGAUUUUGCAUUCCAGGAUUUGCUAGCGCUACCCGCGGUAAUUGGCGUGGCAUGUUUUCGUCCGCGAUUUGCUCGUGUCCCAAGGGUUCGCCGGCCUGAACUGAGCAUUGUGAACGAGACGGCGCUGGUUGUGCCAAAUAGGUUGCCAUUUGGAGCGGCGGAAGACUAGGUGGUUGUGGCGGAAAUUCGCUGUAUUGACGUGGACGCUGGGAUCGGGACAUUUGCUGUCGUUGUUUGAAGCCACCACGAUUUGAGUGUGACGCAUUUUUGGGAUAGGUUUUAUUAAUUUCAUUAUUUCCAGGCCUUACCAUUGACCGAGGACGGCCACCCGAGGACUCUUGGCUGGUAUUAUUUGAUUCUGCCGAGUCACGCGCAGGUGCGGUACCAGGAUUCUUGUACCCUGCUUAGCCUAUCCCUGACAAUGGUAUCUAUUUCUGUGCGCAACGAACUGCGCUCCAGAGAAGGCUGAUCAGUAGCCGACGGCCCCUCAUUGUUGGUCCGCUGCGGCGGGAAGCUUAAAUCGGGCGCAGUUAUAGCUACGGAUUCGGUUAUUGAUUGAUUGGUACAACGAGCUGGAGAAGCUACAUUAGGAAAAGAUCUUGAAAUGAUUCAUCGACCGCCCCGGCCUUCUCUAAGUUUUUAGGUGUGCGGAACAUGGUAUUUUCGCUAUCGGUUUUCGAUCGAGUAUAAUAAUUAUGGACUCUUCUGUUCAGAUCGAAUGUGAGUUUACGCCUUUCCGCGCUAUCCAUACAGUAUUCAAUUUUAUUAAAUUUAACUUAGAUUCUUACCAUUAAAGAAAA
rnacentral:lncRNA from 1 species